rnacentral:rRNA from 1 species
AUACGUAGGGUGCGAGCGUUAAUCGGAAUUACUGGGCGUAAAGCGUGCGCAGGCGGUUCGACAAGUCAGAUGUGAAAUCCCCGGGCUCAACCUGGGAACUGCGUUUGAAACUAUCGAGCUAGAAUAGGUCAGAGGGGGGUAGAAUUCCACGUGUAGCAGUGAAAUGCGUAGAGAUGUGGAGGAAUAUCAAUGGCGAAGGCAGCCCCCUGGGAUCAUAUUGACGCUCAUGCACGAAAGCGUGGGGAGCAAACAGGAUUAGAUACCCUGGUAGUCCACGCCCUAAACGAUGUCAACUAGUUGUUGGUAGAGUAAAAUCUAUGAGUAACGCAGCUAACGCGUGAAGUUGACCGCCUGGGGAGUACGAUCGCAAGAUUAAA